CCAAUAGCGUAUAUUAAAGUUGUUGCAGUUAAAAAGCUCGUAGUUGAACUUCGGGGUUUGCUCAUUGGUCAGGCUUAAUUGUCUGUACUGGUGGGAUAAAUCUCUACCUUCUGAGGAACUUUCAUGCCAUUUAUUUGGUGUGAUGGGAAAUCAGGACUGUUACUUUGAAAAAAUUAGAGUGUUUAAAGCAGACUAACGUCUGAAUACAUUAGCAUGGAAUAAUGAAAUAGGACGGACUGAUUCUAUUUCGUUGGUUUCUAGGAUCACCGUAAUGAUUAAUAGGGAUAGUUGGGGGCAUUAUUAUUCAAUUGUCAGAGGUGAAAUUCUUGGAUUUAUUGAAGACUAACUACUGCGAAAGCAUUUGCCAAGGAUGUUUUCAUUAAUCAAGAACGAAAGUUAGGGGAUCGAAGACGAUCAGAUACCGUCGUAGUCUUAACCAUAAACUAUGCCGACUAGGAAUCAGACGAUGUUAAUUUUUUAAUGACUCGUUUGGCACCUUACG
rnacentral:rRNA from 1 species